ACCAUGUUUAGUUUUCAAUCUACAGAUUUGGCAAGUUAAAUGCUUUUUUAUGAUAUUGGCUACUUGCUGUAUUGAUAUGGUUUACAUUGUAGUGUGUACACGAUGCUUACAUAAAUUUGCUAUUUUCUUGAAAAAAUGCCUUGUGUUUUUGAAGGUUCAAUGUUGCCAACUUACUGCCUCGUUCAAAGGCAAAUGAAAUAUUAAACACCAUGAGUUGUUACACCCAUAACAUAUGCAAAUGUAUGCUCGAUCACUCCUUUACUAUUCUACAAGGGAGCGGCAGAUUUAUAGUUGUCCUUAAGGUCUUAGAGGCCAUAGAUAAAAUCUAACGUAAAUAGACAAUUACAAGCCUAUCAUUGUAUUUGUAUGACUCAUGCUGUGUCUGUUAGCUACAAGCAACCGUUAGGCUUACCAAAACAGUUUAAAUUAACAAAUUCUGAGCUAUUGAUGUUCUUUUUAUUAGAAUUAUUUAAGGAACAAACAUUGAAUGUGAAAAUGGUGAUGAGCAUCAAAUUGUACUGUCUAAUAUAAAAUAACUAUUAUAACUAAUAUAUGUGCUCACUGGGGAUCAAUAUACUUCGACCAUAUACCCUUUAUGGUCUAUACCAUGGACCAUAAAUCAUGCUGCAAGAAUCUCAUUCUUAUAUUCUUAUCUAUCCCCUUUAUCUUUUGCCAAUAUUCAAAUGUAUAGUAAUAGAAACUUGACAAAGUUAUUAUCAGUAUUCAGUAGCAAGGUUGCAGGUAACUUGAUUCAUUUCCUUUGUUGUAUGGAUCCAUUUGGUCACUGCAGUAGUUCUUCUGUAUAUUAUUCCUGAAAUAUGAAUAGUAGUGUGUUACUUGUCCCAAUUGCUGUGCAAAGUUUUUUUUAAGCUUGUCUGGGUAACACA